rnacentral:rRNA from 1 species
UACGUAGGGUGCGAGCGUUAAUCGGAAUUACUGGGCGUAAAGUGUGCGCAGGCGGCCGCGUAAGUCGGGUGUGAAAACUUUGGGCUUAACCCAAAGCGUGCAUCCGAUACUGCUGUGACUUGAGUUCGGUAGGGGAGUGGGGAAUUCCUAGUGUAGCGGUGAAAUGCGCAGAUAUUAGGAGGAACACCGGUGGCGAAGGCGGCUUUCUGGACAGAAACUGACGCUGAUGCGCGAAAGCUAGGGGAGCAAACAGG